rnacentral:rRNA from 1 species
AGUGAACGCUGGCGGUAGGCCUAACACAUGCAAGUCGAACGGCAGCACAGUAAGAGCUUGCUCUUACGGGUGGCGAGUGGCGGACGGGUGAGGAAUACAUCGGAAUCUACUUUUUCGUGGGGGAUAACGUAGGGACACUUACGCUAAUACCGCAUACGAUCUACGGGUGAAAGCAGUGGAUCUUCGGACCUUGCGCGAUUGAAUGAGCCGAUGUCGGAUUAGCUAGUUGGCGGGGUAAAGGCCCACCAAGGCGACGAUCCGUAGCUGGUCUGAGAGGAUGAUCAGCCACACUGGAACUGAGACACGGUCCAGACUCCUACGGGAGGCAGCAGUGGGGAAUAUUGGACAAUGGGCGCAAGCCUGAUCCAGCCAUACCGCGUGGGUGAAGAAGGCCUUCGGGUUGUAAAGCCCUUUUGUUGGGAAAGAACAGCAGCAGGUUAAUACCCCGCUGUUCUGACGGUACCCAAAGAAUAAGCACCGGCUAACUUCGUG